UUUUUCCGUUAAAUUAUAGAUAAUGAGUAAAUAGUAAAUAGUGCUUUGUUGUAGUAAAUUUCCAACCCCAGUGAGCCUGUGAAAAGAACACACAACUCAGUUAUAAUAUUUAUAAGCUGUAUAUCUAUACUGGGCAAGAUUGGGAGCAAUGCUAAUCUGUGUAUAAACAUAAAUAUUUAGGAAACAGUGUAGUGAUAUACCCAUUUAGCAAAAUAACAGUAAGUUUUCCACUAAGGCCUGUGACAUCCCAAACCAUGGACUUUAACUAGGCUUACAUACUGAAAUCUUUCUUGUGAAGUGUAGGCCUCAGAUCAAACCAGAAAGCAGUAGGUUCUCCUCCUCUAACCUACUUGCCCCUGUUGCACCAUUGGUCCUACCUUGCCUGGAAGGACACUAGUACAGGAUUCAGGGUUAGUACUUUUUGGUAAGGCCAUUUAUCUUUCCUCCCCAGUGGCUGCAUAGGAUCUAUCUUCCAGCACUGAAAGCUAGCCAACAGGGAAGAAGUUUCCAGGUCAGAUCCACCAAUUUCCCUAUGUCCUGAAAGCAAAGUGAGUUGUAUCUUCAACAGUCGUUUUAGCAUCUAGUUAGGGUGCGCAGACAAGAGCAGAGACAAUAGCUUGUGUUGUUUGGAGGCCUUAUAUCUCAUACCUGGCACAGAGAUUUUCUUUAAUAAAACAUAUCUUCUAGGGGAAGUAUUGUCUACUUUUACAGAGUAUCUAUGUUGAAAUUCCUCUUUUAAAAAAUACAG
rnacentral:lncRNA from 1 species